UACAGAGGUCUCAAGCGUUGUUCGGAUUCACUGGGCUUAAAGGGCGCGUAGGCGGACUGGUAAGUCCGGGGUGAAAUCUGUCGGCUCAACCGGAAAAGUGCCUUGGAAACUGCCAGUCUCGAGGGGGGUAGGGGCCUGUGGAACUUCGGGUGGAGCGGUGAAAUGCGUUGAUAUCCGAAGGAACGCCGGUGGCGAAAGCGACGGGCUGGACCCCUUCUGACGCUGAGGCGCGAAAGCCAGGGGAGCAAACGGG
rnacentral:rRNA from 1 species